rnacentral:tmRNA from 1 species
GGGGGUGAACUGGCUUCGACUUUGAAGUGAGUCUCUCAGUAGCGAGUCGAGGGUCCUAGGGCCUCGUUAAAAACGUAGGAAAACAAUAUAACUGCCAAACCUAAGUUGGCUUUAGCAGCAUAAGCUGCUCGUCACCUAUCGGGGCUCCCACCUCGGAUAGCAAUGGCGUCGAAAUGUGGGAUGCUUAGUUAGGAUACCGACUAACUACUAAGAUUAAGGUAAACCUUUCAGGCCAUAGGUUCCGAUAACUAGCCUGAUCGUAUUUUAUCGGAUGCACUCGGAGAAGCUGUUAGGUAGCUUGGAAGGACCGGGGUUCGACUCCCCGCACCUCCACCA